rnacentral:rRNA from 1 species
GUCCGAGUUGUAAUCUAUAGAGGCGUUUUCCGUGCCGGACCGUGUCCAAGUUCCUUGGAACAGGAUAUCAAAGAGGGUGACAAUCCCGUACUUGACACGACGACCGGUGCUCUGUGAUACGUCUUCUACGAGUCGAGUUGUUUGGGAAUGCAGCUCAAAAUGGGUGGUGAGUUCCAUCUAAAGCUAAAUAUUGGCGAGAGACCGAUAGCGAACAAGUACCGUGAGGGAAAGAUGAAAAGCACUUUGGAAAGAGAGUUAAACAGUACGUGAAAUUGUUGAAAGGGAAACGAUUGAAGUCAGUCGUGACCGAGAGGCUCAGCCGGUUCUGCCGGUGUAUUCCCCUCGGUCGGGUCAACAUCAGUUUUGUCCGGUGGAUAAGGGCGGUAGGAAGGUGGCACCCUCGGGUGUGUUAUAGCCUGCCGUCGCAUACAUCGGGUGAGACUGAGGAACG